rnacentral:rRNA from 1 species
AGUGAACGCUGGCGGUAGGCCUAACACAUGCAAGUCGAACGGCAGCACAGUAAGAGCUUGCUCUUACGGGUGUCGAGUGGCGGACGGGUGAGGAAUACAUCGGAAUCUACUUUUUCGUGGGGGAUAACGUAGGGAAACUUACGCUAAUACCGCAUACGACCUACGGGUGAAAGCAGGGGAUCUUCGGACCUUGCGCGAUUGAAUGAGCCGAUGUCGGAUUAGCUAGUUGGCGGGGUAAAGGCCCACCAAGGCGACGAUCCGCAGCUGGUCUGAGAGGAUGAUCAGCCACACUGGAACUGAGACACGGUCCAGACACCUACGGGAGGCAGCAGUGGGGAAUAUUGGACAAUGGGCGCAAGCCUGAUCCAGCCAUACCGCGUGGGUGAAGAAGGCCUUCGGGUUGUAAAGCCCUUUUGUUGGGAAAGAAAAGCAGCAGGUUAAUACCCCGCUGUUCUGACGGUACCCAAAGAAUAAGCACCGGCUAACUUCGUG